CUCAAGCUCACUCAUCGAGCGAAGCCAGUCAGCGAAGAAGGUCUUGUGGCUGUCGAUCGUGGUGAAAGAGACAUAAGUGUUUAAGUGAUAGAUAAAGUUUUUCCAAACGUGGAAAAGCGCUGGUGAAAGUGGAAAUUCACCAGCAAAAUAUGUGAAAAUCGGUUAUCUUUUCCGCGAGGUGUGUUUUGUGCUAAAAAGUGAAGCUGUUGGGCCAAUGUUUAGGGUAUAAUUCUAAGUCUGAAAUGGGAUACAUUUUCCACUACGUCUCCGAUCUUUGCUUGCCUCGGGGCUCGGUUUUACAGUAAAAUUUUAAUGGCAGCGAAAAAGGCGAAAAAGUGACGACUGCUUCGUUGGUUGCACAGUGAUGCCAGAAUUAACAUCGGUGUUUCUCCACAGUGAUUAUUAUAUUUUUCUGUUUCGAAAAGGUUCUAAGUUACAGAAUAGAACUUAUUGCAAGCAGUGCCGUGUCGCGAACAAGGUUUUUAAAUGAAACUCUGAAAAAGAUCGGACUCAUUUCUGUUUCCGCAUUUUUGAAUUGAAAGGAAGUGCGCCAUGAACUGCGGUUAUCGGAUUAACGAUUCAUUGUUUUUUCUCGGAUAAAAUUGGGAUUACCCGGAAGACGCAGUUAAACUUCAUAACAAUAUUCAUCAAUUGUAGAAAAUGGAAAAGGUUUUACGUAUUUUACUAAAAAGCGGAUGAUAUAUUUGUUGAGCGGAAUAUGAUUGUCCCGAAAGCUGAUGAACGAAAAUACGUACAAGCAGAAGAAGCGAAAAGUGUAAAAUUGGAUUGUGGCCGCCAGAAAAGAAGAAAAGUGAUUGAAUUCGGCAGUGUCAGUGAUGUGACCAAACAGGAAAAAAAGUUUGGUGAGCUAGAAAGGCAUAUUUAUCGUUUGGUAUAAUUAUAACGAUCGCAACAUAAACAUUGCAAAUCAACGCAAAUGUGUUUUGAGUGGCAAGGAUUUACACAUUAGAAGUAUUAUUUUGCUGUGCAAAAUUCGAUACGGUUUAUAAUUUCAGAGAUCCUGCAAUUUCGGCACGGCAACCAACGAUUCACACUUGCUGCUGUAUGGGCUACCGAGUGAAACAACUAGUUUAUUUUAACGUAUCUCAUCGUGAAAGGAAAAACAAACAAUUCCCUACUCGUUCGUGCUAAAUCUUUUGCACGCGCUGAAAUCAAAUCCCGUGACGACAACCGGGCAAAAGAACAAAGAAGUGCUGCAUAUGUUGCUUCCGGAAUUAGAUGGCUAGUGAUUCUCAGCGACAAUCUUCCGGAUGCUACCGUCAACCGACCAUACGAUCUAAACUGUAAAAUGGCACUUCCCAAACCUGGUAAGGUCUGUAUCGACAUAGGAGCGAAACGUCAAUUGUCACGGCAAAGAUCUGCGGCAGUAGUUAACGGAGUUAGCGAAGUGGAUGAAAACUGUCGGAAGCAGGCACGGCUUCUACCGUUGGCCUUAUUGGUGGUGAAAUAAUGUGUCUGAGAGAAACGCUUCAGGCAGUGUAGUUGUUUUUACAAGUGUUCUAAUUGUGUUCACGCUUCUGAUUCCUGUUGAGUGAUUUUCGUAAUUGCAAUCGAAAUAAAGGUGAAUGUGAUAGAAAGAUAACUAUGCAGAAAAAAGAAGCAGAAAAUGAGCAAAAUAGAAAGAAUAUAUGAAGAAGAGAAGAAAAUAUGCAAGUCCAAAGUGUCAAAUAAAUGAAGAAAAAAAACUAAGUUACAGUUAAUAAAAUUGCAUGCAAAUGAACACGAGCAAAAUUUAUUAAUGAAGCUAGCUCGUGGAAAGUAUUUUUAACGAGAGAAAAAAAGAAGUUUGAAGUCGAAAAAGUGAAGUAUUAAUUGCGACAAAAUGUCUUUUCUAAACAACCUGAAGAAGGUCUUCCACCUUGGCGGUGGAGAGGCGAAGAAGAAACGGAUUUUCAACAACAUUCGGAUGGAUACGGAUCCGAACGAUUUCUGGGAUAUGGUUGGUGAGUUGGGAGAUGGUGCCUUCGGAAAGGUGUACAAGGCGCUUAACAAAGAAACUAAACAGUUGGCGGCAGCUAAAAUGUGCACCCUCGAGGACGAAGAAAACCUCAGUGAUCAUAUGGUGGAAAUCGACAUCUUGUCAGAGAUUAAGCAUCCUAAUAUCGUGGAGUUAUAUGAGGCUUUCUCGAUCGACGAUAAGUUGUGGAUGCUUAUCGAGUAUUGUGAUGGCGGUGCCUUAGAUAGUAUUAUGGUGGAACUGGAGAAACCUUUGACUGAGCCUCAGAUUGCCUACGUCUGCAAGCACAUGUGCGCUGGCUUGCAUCACCUACAUAAAAACAAGGUGAUACAUCGUGACUUGAAAGCCGGUAAUGUGCUGCUAACCAUGGACGGUGGAGUCAAAUUGGCGGAUUUUGGUGUUUCUGCGAAAAACAAGCACACAAUGCAGAAACAUGAUACCUUUAUCGGAACACCGUAUUGGAUGGCCCCUGAACUAGUGCUAUGUGAAACGUUUCGUGACAAUCCGUAUGAUUUCAAGGUUGACAUUUGGUCUCUUGGUAUAACGUUAAUCGAGUUUGCUCAAAUGGAACCACCGAAUAGUGAAAUGUCACCGAUGCGUGUGCUGCUCAAAAUUCAGAAAAGUGAUCCCCCCAAACUAGAUCAGCCUUCUAAGUGGUCCAGAAGCUUCAACGAGUUUCUGGCAAAGGCUUUGGUGAAAGAUCCUCAACAGCGACCAGCUACGGAUAUAUUGAUGGGUUUAGCAUUUAUUUGCGGUGAUUUGGAUCCCAAACCGAUAAAAGAUUUGUUACUGGAAUAUAAGGCAGAUGUUGUUGAAGAAGAAUUGGUUGAUGAAGAAGCAGAGAAAGCUAAGAGACAGGCGAAGCGUAGAUCGCUUUAUCAGAGGGAACCCCGCAGUUCUGCGCUACCACUCGACUUGGACGAUGAUUCAUCUUCGUUGCAAAGUCAAGAAACUUAUAAACUUCCAGAUACUCCCACAUCCUUAUCGAAAUCAUCCAGGGAUUCUAAAGAAUCCACUCCUGUUCCUGUUGAAGAUGAUGGCAAAGCAAAGCCGGCAGCAGCUUCUGCUAUAGUGUCGCCUUCUUUGCCAGUGUCUACACCAUCAGCUGUUUCCAGUUCAGCGCCCAGGUCGACAUCGGCGGCAUCGUCAGCUACAGCGCCCUCUACGGUCGUGACUAGUGAUAGUAAUGUACAAAGUGAUGCUAAUAAAUCAACGGGUUCGGUUCCUGUUCCAGUGUUACCUCCAUCCGCACAACGGUCUCUGAAAGAGGAGGCUGAAUCGAGUGAAAGUACCGCUAAUACAAGUGGCCACAGCAGUAGUAGUAGCAGCAACAAUGAGGUUGAGAAGAAAGGUGUUAUUAAAAAGGAAAAAGGACCGGCCCCACCACCCCCGCAAACUCCAGCAUCAUCUAGCAGUAAAGCCCUAUUAAACGCGACUGCUCAAGCAGCCGUUCCGGCUACUCCACCGGAGACUCCACAGGCUGCGACUAUAAGAGGCGUUGAUCGCCCUGAUGAUGCAGCGAUUUCUGAGCCUUCUCCGAGUCCAAUUCAAGCCGAACGUUCUGCUAGUAGUGACGAGCAUAUCAAGUCACCAAAGAAGGACCAUGCUCCAUCGCCACCGAUGCUUCCUUUGAAGGCAAUUUCUUCUCCAUCACCGCAGCCUCAAGACGAUUCGACUGUUUGGGUGAAGAGUCCUGGCAGUAGAAAACAUACACCGGAAGAAACUUCCGCUGAUAUGCUGGGAGCAAGAGCUGAAUCGCCCUAUUCCAAAGAAACACAACCCGUUAAUAAAACUGUUGCCAUUCCAAACCCCGCACUUCCGUUCGAUGAUGAACCACAGCAUUUCCCUUACCAUCAAAUUCCACCACCACUGAUGCCAGAAGAUGAAAUCCGAAUCACAUCGACACCAAACAGCAAGCAAUCCAACGUUAACGCAAGCGCCAACACUUCUUUGAUAACGAUCAACAACGAUACCGUACUCGCGGAUCCAUCCAAUAGUCUUGCCACCAACGUCAGUCAGGUCACCGUCGUUACUAGCCACCCACCGGUGAUAAUUGAUAACUCCGUUGUUCCAUCCGGUUCGUCCUCGUCUGCCUCGUCGACAAAAUCCUUUGGGUCUUCACAGCGAAGAUCACGUGUCAUAUCGCCGAAGGGCAGUGAUGAGGUGGUAAUCGUCUCCAACGAAUUGAACAAAACGCAUGUCAAUGAAUCGUCUACAGAUGACGAUUUCCAAUCGUUGGACAGUUUGGAAAACCUUUCGCCCAAAUACAGAAAGCAGCAACAAUUGUUGCAACAACAGCAGCAGUCUGCGACUGGCCAAAUUGCACGCAAGCUGGACGAAAGCGAGGUGUUGAUCGUUAGUCCAAGUUUUAUUGCAGAGCAAAGUGAGCAGCAUGAGCAGGAUGAUUUCAGCAAUGAUGAGCUGUUUGUAGGUAAUAAUCACAACAACAGUAAGCUUUUGGACACUAGUCAUGUUUCGGUGGUCACCGUUGGUGAAGAGGAGAUCAAGGUUAAGGAUUCCUCGCAUCAUGCGCAUCUAAUUAAUAGUAGCAGUAGCACCAGUCAUCACCACUUGCAUCAACAACAACAGCACUUGUUGAACCAUCAUCACGAUUCCAUUAGCGACCUGUCGAAUGUCAGCUGUGGUCCCAGUGAAUCCAGCGACGACAUUAAGGUUGUUGAUGUCAUGCUGAACCAACCGGUAGCUGGAACGACCAGUACCAGUAGUGUGAGUACAGGCAGUACGGUUACAGGUGCCGGUGGUUUUACCCAACGGUCUCCUUCGGGUUCAUCGAUUUCAUCGCCGCUACGGAGCGGUUCUAGCAGUAAGUUGAACGGCGACUUCAAUCGAAGUCGGGAGGAUGUCAGUAUCAUAGUGAAUAAACGAAAGAUUGUGGAGAAGCAAAGGAUUUCGCCCGACAGCAGUGUUGGAUCGAUGGAUGGUGGUGGUUCGGUACGAUCGUCCAGUACACCGUUGCAUCACCCUCAGCAGCAGCCAUCGCAGCAGCAUAUUGCUGGUAGCAAACAGGUGGAUCGCAGUGAUGCUGAGAGUAUAGCCACUACAACUAGUCACGAUAGCCGCGAGCAAUCGGUCGAUGAAGAGGUACAGCUCCGCCGGAAACCUCCAGUAGUCGAGAUCGAAGAGGAUAAGGUUCCGCCAAUCAUAAGCAACACAAGAACGAAACCUAGCCAGCAGCGCAACUUCAGCAAGGAAGAAAUUCAUUUACAAAACUUGAAAAAGAAAACGAGAAAACGAACGAGAAAAUUCGAAAUUGACGGAGUGCAAGUAACAACCACCACCAGUAAAGUGAUCUACAGUGAUGAAGAUAGUAACAAACUGUACGACGACCACCUGUUCCGAAAACAGGAGCUGCGCGAGCUCAAGAUGCUACAAAAGCAAGAGAAAAAGCAGUUCUACGAGCUUCAGCAGAAGGAAGCGGUUGCCAAAGAACAGCAAGAAAAAAAGUUUGAGCAGGAACGAUUGCAGCUGGAGCGAACCUUUGAGGCCGAUAUGGAUGUAUUGGCGCGGCAACAUCGACAAACCGUGGAAAAGUAUGAACAGCAACAAGAGACUGAGCUUAGAAAUACAUCGAAAAAAAUUCGUGCCGAACAGGAACGUGAUUUGAAGCUGUUCCGCGAUAGUCUCAAGCAGGAAAUUCGACUGUUAAAGCAGGAGGUAGAUCUGCUGCCAAAGGAGAAACGAAAAGAUGAAUUCCGCAAAAGGAAAACCGCCAUGGAGCUCGAGCAUGAGGAGCGUGAGAAAAGCUUUCUGGCUACUUUGUCGGAAAAUCACGAGCUCGCCUUGCGUCGAAUUAGCGAAAUUUACCGAGAAAAAUUGUCCGCCGCCGACAAAGGUUACCUGCAGCAGAAACAGACGGCUAUGAGAACUCGAGAGGCUAUGCUCUGGGAGUUAGAAGAAAAACACAUUCACGACAAACACCAACUGGCGAAACGUCACGUCAAAGAUCUUUGUUUCAUGCAGCGGCAUCAAAUGAUUAUUCGCCACGAAAAAGAGUUGGAUCAAAUUAAGAGGAUGAUAUCUCGAAAAGAGGAAGAACUGUUGAAAAGACAGACCAUUGAAAGGCGAGCUUUGCCGAAACGGAUACGUGCCGAACGCAAGGCGCGUGACAUGAUGUUCCGCGAAUCUUUACGGAUAUCGAUGACUACAGACCCAGAGCUAGAGCGAGAAAAAUUGAAGAAGUUCCAAGAGCAAGAGAAAAAGCGCUACACUCAAGAACAGAUUCGGUUUGAAACCAAGCACAGCAAGCAACUAGAGGAAUUGCGAGCAACCUCAGACGGCUCUAUUAGAGAACUCGAGCAACUACAAAACGAGAAACGAAAGCAACUAUUAGAGCAUGAGACUGCGAAAUUGCGUGAAUGUGAUGAAGCUCUGCAGAAAGAGCUACGCGAAUGGAAGUCACAGUUACUUCCUAGGAAGCAGGUUGCACAGAAAGAGCUCGACUGGAUGGUGGAUGAAUUCGUGCAGAAAUGGGGCCCGGUAGAUCGACGUGACUUCGACGGUGAAUUCGUAGUUCCUCCGGAAAUUCGGAACCGAACAAAUUCCCUUAAUACUCGCUCUUUGCGGCUGCACGGUGGCUUGCUAAGCAUUUCCCGAUCCCGCACUUUCCUUACAUUACCGGUAUCAGACGGUCGCAAUAGUAUACACAGUUCAGUACCAGAUUUAAGCAGAUCGGUGCCCAAUACUCCCAAUUCUGGACACAAACUUUCGUUGGCUUCUUCGUAUGAUUCGGUUUUGGAAGAAAAUGAGAAUGAAAAUGUGGGUCCCCGUCGGGCUGGUCCAGUGGAAAACCAGUCUGCUAUAAAGUAUAUUUUUACCGACGAUGGAAUUCAUUUGCGCAGAAAAUCGGAAGAUUUGUUGUCUGGUAGGCGUACAAAACUUCCAGUUAAGAAUGAUUACAUUAGACAGGAUUACGGUAGCCGUAAUCGGCACGCCCCGAGUAUGCCUCCUCUUCAAAGCCAUUACCGCCAAAGUUCAGAACCAAACAAUCGUAUUGUCCCCAUUCGCGUUAAUCCAAUAAAAAAACCCGGUAGUAUUUUUGAAGGAAUGACCAACAGGUCAACUAUGGUAAAUCAGCCAACGGGAGGAACCAUUCCACGAAAUCUUUCUGGUUGGGGUAACAGUCGUCUUGGUGAAACUAAUUAUCCUUCGGAUGCUAGUAUUAAUAAGCUAACUACAUUCACCUCAGCCCGAGGUGGAGUCCCAUUGCCAACGAGUAAACAGCACCAGAAUGGGGAAAGCCAUACAAAUGCUGAUAGCAGAUCAAAUUCUAGGUUAAAAUUAUCUCCGUCUACGCCAAUUCUUUUGUCUCCGUCUAGCGAUAUAAGAGGAAAUGGCUCAUCUGCUUAGAAGCGCAAUAUCCGUACCAGUAAUCUUUUUCUAUUGCUAUAGCUAGUCAUGAUAAAAUUCCAAUUCAAAUGAAAAAUAAUUGUAUAUUUGAUAGCUUCCAUUCAGUAGCCGCUCUGGGACUGAAACUGUGUAUACGUUUCCCUACCUACCCCCAAUGAUCUUUCUUUAGUUGGUUUUCUUUACAAAAUCAAGCACUUUAUCGAGUUAAUAAAAAACACUAGCAUAUAACCGCACAUUCUGCACUGGUGUUCUACUGGGUCAGCCACUACAUAGUAUUAUGAGGCAAUACUAACGCAAUACUAUGCUAAUGAUAAACUUACUGUUCUCCUAAUCAUACAUCUAACACUCCGCAUUAACAAAUCUGCCUGCUACUAAUCACUGGCGAAAGGAUACCCAGCGCUUUCAAUUACUUCGAGAAGCUCUAGUGUGGUUGGAAUGAUAUUUACCAAACCUUCAUCACCGAUUAAGAACGAGAGUCAGUGAUGGUUGAUAAAGGCGAAUAACAAGAAAUAAACUUAGCUGAGAGAAGUGAAUGCUAAUCAGCUUUACCUGUUCGGCGAAACAGAAACAAGCGCUUAGAGGAAACGUUCGCUCAGCAACAGGAGGAGAUGGAGCAUAUGUAUGGCAACAGUCUGGUACCGAUGCCACCGAAUUCGCCACAGGCUCACGAUCUGCUUCAGAUCGGCUCGACCCGUAGCAGUAUUUCGUCUU